rnacentral:rRNA from 1 species
CCUACGGGAGGCAGCAGUGGGGAAUUUUGGACAAUGGGCGCAAGCCUGAUCCAGCCAUGCCGCGUGUGUGAAGAAGGCCUUCGGGUUGUAAAGCACUUUCGGCCGGAACGAAAUCGCCUACGUUAAUAGCGGAGGUGGAUGACGGUACCGGAAGAAGAAGCACCGGCUAACUACGUGCCAGCAGCCGCGGUAAUACGUAGGGUGCGAGCGUUAAUCGGAAUUACUGGGCGUAAAGGGUGCGCAGGCGGCGUCGCAAGUCAGGCGUGAAAUCCCCGGGCUUAACCUGGGAAUGGCACUUGAAACUACGAUGCUGGAGUAUGGCAGAGGGAGGUGGAAUUCCACGUGUAGCGGUGAAAUGCGUAGAGAUGUGGAGGAACACCGAUGGCGAAGGCAGCCUCCUGGGCCAAUACUGACGCUCAUGCACGAAAGCGUGGGGAGCAAACAGGAUUAGAUACCCUGGUAGUCCACGCCCUAAACGAUGAUGACUAGUUGUUGGGGGAGUUAAAUCCUUUAGUAACGCAGCUAACGCGAGAAGUCAUCCGCCUGGGGAGUACGGUCGCAAGAUUAAAACUCAAAGGAAUUGACGG